GAUGAACGCUGGCGGCGUGCCUAAUACAUGCAAGUCGAGCGAACAGACGCUGAGCUUGCUCCUCUGACGUUAGCGGCUGACGGGUGAGUCACACGUGGAUCCCCUACCUCUAAUACUGGGAUAACUUCGGGAAACCGGAUCUAAUACCGUAUCAUAUCUUGAACCGCCUGGUUCAAUAGUUAAUGACGGUUUUGCUGUCACUUAUAGCUGGAUCCGCGCCGCAUUAGCUAGUUGGUAAGGUCACGGCUUACCAAGGCGACGAUGCGUAGCCGACCUGAGAGGGUGAUCGGCCACACUGGAACUGAGACACGGUCAAGACUACUACGGGAGGCAGCAGUAGGGAAUCUUCCGCAAUGGGCGAAAGCCUGACGGAGCAACGCCGCGUGAGUGAUGAAGGUCUUCGGAUCGUAAAACUCUGUUAUGAGGGAAGAACAAAUGUGUAAGUAACUAUGGACGUCUUGACGGUACCUAAUCAGAAAGCAACGGCUAACUACGUG
rnacentral:rRNA from 1 species